GACGUAGGGCGCGAGCGUUGUCCGGAUUUAUUGGGCGUAAAGAGCUCGUAGGCGGCUUGUCGCGUCGUCUGUGAAAUCCCGCGGCUCAACUGCGGGCUGGCAGUCGAUACGGGCAGGCUGGAGUUCGGUAGGGGAGACUGGAAUUCCUGGUGUAGCGGUGAAAUGCGCAGAUAUCAGGAGGAACACCGGUGGCGAAGGCGGAUCUCUGGGCCUUACCUGACGCUCAGGCGCGAAAGCUAGGGGAGCGAACUGG
rnacentral:rRNA from 1 species